GAACGAACGAGACUCUUGUAAGGGGGGAUAAGUGUUAUGGCUCAAACAGGUCUUACGGCUGCACCUCCCCGCAUGGGCCCCGCUGGUAACUGGUCGGGUUGUCAUUAUAUUACCGAUCAGGCUAACGCAGUCGUUGAAUGGCGUUGUAAAGGGGAGGAUU